UUGUAUGACUCUCGGCAAUGGAUAUCUUGGCUCUUGCAUCGAUGAAGAGCGCAGCGAAAUGCGAUACGUGGUGUGAAUUGCAGAAUCCCGUGAACCAUCAAAUUUUUGAACGCAAGUUGCGCCCAAGGCCAAUUGGUUGAGGGCACGUCCGCCU
rnacentral:rRNA from 1 species